GGUUCUUCAGCCUCGUUCCCGGGUAGUAUAAAGAUUGCAGUCUCCUUUGUUCGCCCUCGUUGCGCAGUCGUCCUAGCGUCAUUUCUGUUCCGUUCUGAAAAUCGGUAGCUGUCACUGGUGCGGCGCUGCUCGGGAGGUCCCGUCGGCGAGCUCAUUGGAGCUUGAGACCGUCGCAGUCCCCUCGGACGCCCAUCGGUUAAGAGGAAAAAUGGUUGAAGCAGAUCGUCCAGGAAAGCUCUUUAUUGGUGGGCUUAAUACAGAGACGAAUGAGAAAGCCCUUGAGGCAGUGUUUGGCAAAUAUGGACGAAUAGUGGAAGUGCUUUUGAUGAAGGACCGAGAAACGAAUAAGUCAAGAGGAUUCGCUUUUGUCACUUUUGAAAGCCCAGCAGAUGCAAAGGAUGCUGCCAGAGACAUGAAUGGAAAGUCCUUAGAUGGGAAAGCCAUCAAGGUGGAGCAAGCCACCAAACCAUCUUUUGAAAGUGGUAGACGUGGACUACCUCCACCUCCAAGAAGCAGAGGCCCUCCCAGAGGUCUUCGGGGAGGAAGAGGAGGAAGUGGAGGAACCAGAGGACCCCCCUCACGGGGAGGACACAUGGAUGACGGUGGCUACUCCAUGAAUUUUACUAUGAGUUCUUCCAGAGGACCUCUGCCAGUGAAAAGAGGACCACCACCACGAAGUGGAGGUCCUCCUCCUAAAAGAUCAGCACCUUCAGGACCAGUUCGUAGCAGCAGUGGACUGGGAGGAAGAGCCCCUGUGUCACGUGGAAGAGAUGGUUACGGAGGCCCGCCACGAAGGGAGCCCCUGCCUUCUCGAAGAGAUGUUUAUUUGUCCCCGAGAGAUGAUGGAUAUUCCACUAAAGACAGCUAUUCAAGCAGAGAAUAUCCAAGUUCUCGAGAUACACGAGAUUAUGCACCACCACCAAGAGAUUAUACUUACCGUGAUUAUGGUCAUUCCAGUUCACGAGAUGACUAUCCAUCAAGAGGCUAUAGUGAUAGAGAUGGAUAUGGUCGGGAUCGUGAUUAUUCAGAUCAUCCAAGUGGAGGUUCCUACAGAGAUUCGUAUGAGAGUUAUGGUUGAAUCUAAUGGUCAUACUGUCAUGGAGUGCUGAUUGAUUCACAGUAGAUAAAGCUGGCAGUAAGGAACAAUCAAAUGCUCAGAGUUGUUGAAGCAGAGGAACGCUGAGACUAAGCCACAGCAGUUGCUUACCCAGUGCGCAUCAGAAGUGGUUUGGUACAGGCAAUAGAUUUUUUUUUUUGUCUUCAAGGGAGGGAGGCUGAUUAAACCUAAUCAGUGCUGGUUAAACCUUAAUUAGGGAGUGGCAGUCACUUAAAACUGACCCAAUGGAAAGAGGGAGACUAAUUGUUAACUGGAGGUACCUACCCAAGAAGUCCGGUGACUCUUUUUAGACAUUCAGUAGUUCGGGCAAAGUCAUGGGGCAACUCUGCAAUUUAGAGCUGAUGAUCACUGAGGAGAAGCAAAUUGAAUUAGCUGGGACUGUAAGUCCAUGGGGAGUGGUUGCCUAAGCACCAGUGAGGCUGAGAGUUCAACCCCUGGCAAAACGCAAACAUUUCAAUUAGAAAAAUUACACCUCACUGAUGUCUGAUUUUCAGCAAGGAACCCAAUUUGAUGAAUUGCCUCAUCAGUAGGAAACAUAAUCAUAUAAAACUGAGAGAGGGGGAAGAAUGGUGCUAGGAAAUGAAAGUAAAAACAGGAAACAUUGUUAGGCUAGUUAGAAAAGCAUAUUGGGAACAAAAAUAGGUCACUAGGUCACUGUAGUUUUAUAAAAGGUACUUUACCCUCAGGGCUCCAUCUUGGAAACAAAUCAUGACACAACAACUCUAGUUUACUGCUUUGGAAACUAAGAGCCAGUAAUGUAAAUGCAGAUAAUCUCAACAGAAGCAGGUUGAGUUUUAGAGUCAAAGAAUUUAACUCAACUUCUGAGAUUUUUCUUAUGAAUUUGUUACAAUACUGUUGAGGGGAUUUCAAGCCUUCCAUACUCUAAUCAGGCCUGGGGAAGGUUCUUCGGUCAAGACCUUUAGGCUCUUGACAUUUUAUGUACAUUUUUAGUUUGUCAUGGGCAAUAAAUACUACACUAAAUAUGAAUGUUAAAUUCAAAGUGGGAAGUUGGUAGAAGAAUUUCAAGAGACCUUUUUGACAAAUGGUAGACUAUAGAACUAGCAGGCUUACAGUCUGCAAUUAGAAAAAAAAUUAGCCUUGAUUUUUCUGGCUAAGCUCUGGAUGUAGAAGAAUUUGAAUAAUACAGAAAGUGCCGUGGUUUAUUUGGUAGCUGGAUGUAGAACAUUAUAGAUCGUUUUUUUGGAAUGUUUUGUACUGAAACCCAAUAAAACUUGAAUGUGUGUCUUUGUGGUGUUGGGUUCUUUUUUAAAGCCCUUUUUGUAAGUAGAAAUUCAUUUUAGCCUUUUCAGGUUUCUUUUUCCACAUAAUUUUCCUCCCCAAACUUCAGUUCUGGGGCACUGUUGGUAUUUAGGUACAGGGACAGCCAGGGCCCCUGAGAGGUCUGACCACUGGCCUUCCUCUAGGACCAGUUAAAGCCUUAGAUAAACUUGGUAAACAGAUGCUUCCCUUUGGAGUUAGUUAGAUUCCCCAAGGAAGGCUCCCAGCAGACACUUACCUUGAUGGGUAUACCCAGUGACUCGGUGUAAGAUUGGGUUUUUCAGUGUGACCUCUGGGACUGCCCGUGUAACGUGCAUGCAUAUUCCAUGAUCCAGCUGGCCUUCAGAUCUGCCGUUUCUUGCUAAUUCUGCUUUCUGUCUAGGUUGAAGUAGGGGAUGGUUUUCCAGUGAGAUUCAGUUUCAGCAUUAUUACUUGUGGGAACUUUGGAGAAAUUAACCUAUAGUUGAUCUCUCACUUGUAAAGAAGGUUGGUAAUAUGUAUCCCAGAGGUGGGAGAGAUUGAGUUCACGAACCUGCCUCAGAAAGUAAAAGCUACAUAAUUAUUAAAUGAUAUUAUUUUCCAUCAAUUUCCUCCUGUGUUAUCUUCAGGCCUAGGCUUUGGGACCCAAUUAGUUUCCCCUUUUGUUAGGGACUGAAAGUUCUUACAAGCUGAUUUUUUUCUCCUAGGUUAGUCAUAGUUAAUUUUCACUUUCCUCCAUUAGCAACUAUUUUAAUACCAUGUAUGUCCUUAUGUAUAAGAUCUUAUUAAUUAAGGGAUUUGUUGUUUGACAAGGGUCUCUUUACAUAGUCUGGCU